AUGGCAUCAUUUUGUUUUAGAAAAUGGAACGCUCUUAAUUGGAUACUGGUUUUUAAUCAUAGUCUACAUUUUAAUCAUAAGCUUCCUGUUUUUUCUUCUUUUCUCUUUUUUUCUACUUUUUUUAAGCUUUUCAAAUAUUAUUUGGUCAUUUCUAGUGAUAUUGGAGGCCAACCCAAUAUUAUGAAUCAUCACCUUUCUUGCUUUCUCUCCAUUUUCCUUCAUCACACUGUUAUUGCUUUUUGGGAAUUUUGGUUGACUUUUAACAUUUCUGCCUCACACACUAAACAGGAUCACUAG